AAGCUCGUAGUUGAAUUUCGGGGUUAGUAGGUUGGUCAUGCCUCUGGUAUGUACUGGUCUCACUGAUUCCUCCUUCCUUAUGAACCGUAAUGCCAUUAAUUUGGUGUUGCGGGGAAUUUGGACUGUUACUUUGAAAAAAUUAGAGUGUUUAAAGCAAGCUAACGCUUGAAUACAUUAGCAUGGAAUAAUGAAAUAGGACGUUCGAUCUUAUUUUGUUGGUUUCUUAGGAUUGACGUAAUGAUUAAUAGGAUAGUUGGG
rnacentral:rRNA from 1 species